GAUUUUUGCCAUUUAAUUGUGAAGUGUCUUGAUUUAGCCCUAUUUGGGUUCAGCCUGUUUGGGAUCCUUUGGGCCUCUUGGAUCUGGAUGUCUAUUUCCCUCCCCAGGUUUGGGAAGUUUUCAGCCAUUAUUGCUUUAAAUAUACUUUCUGUUGUUUCUUUUUCUCCUUCUAGAAUUCCCCUAAUGCAAAUAUUAUUUGCUUUCAUUGUGUCCAGUAAUUCCUGUAGCCUCUUUUCACUUUCUUUCAUUCUUUUUGCUCCUCUAAUUUCAGUGGUGGUUUUUUUGGUUUUUUUUCCAGUUCACUGCAGUGUUCUGCAUGGUUGAGUCUGCUUUUAAAACCCUUUAUUGAAUUCUUCAGUUAUAUUUUUCAGCUCUGAUUUUGGGGCUUGUGGGUUUUUUUGUUUGUUUGGUUUGGGGAUGAUUUCUACUUUGUUGAACUUCUUGUUCAUGUAUUGUUUUCAUAACUUUAUUUAGUGGUCUGUGUGUUCUUAUAGCUCACUAAACUUUAUUACAAUUAUUCUGAAUUUUUUAUCUGACAGCUCAGAGGUCUCCAUUUCUUUUGGGUCAGUUACUAGAGCGUCAUUCAUUUCCGUUGGUAUGUCAUACUUACCUGAUUGUUCAAGAUCUUUGAUUCUUUAUGUUGGUCUCUGUGCCUUUCUUUAAGUGGUCUCCUCUUUCAGACUUAGCAUGUUUGAUUUGGCAGGGACAUUUCUUCACCAGUCAGCUUAGUGUGGGUUUCUGGACAUGUCUGCUGGUAACAUCCUUGGGUAGGUGGGGCCUCCUAGUAGAGUCUAUUUUUAGGCAAGCAGCUGUUAAUGCUCUGAGGUAAGGGGUAUGGCACUGGCCAAGAACAGCUAGAUAACACUGCUGGCUCGGUUCCCUCCUCAAGGGAAGCUGUGGGAUGAUCUUCGCGAUUUCCUGAAAUCUCUGGUCAGGCUUACUCGACAGUUGGGACUGGGUACUACGUUGGCCUUUGUUCAGGCUAUGAACUAGCUUCUCUGCCCUUGCAGGGCGGCUGGAUAGGACCUGGGGCCUGCACAGCUUGUUCGGGGACCUGAUUCAGGAAAGAGUGUGCACUUAACAUCCUGGUCAGAUGAGGCCACUGGUUUUGCUCUACAGAUGUGGAAAGCCCAGAGCUAUACUCCAUCAAGUGACACUGUAAAUGGGGCCUUUGGAUGAGCUAUGCAUUUCCCUGUGUGCUCUGGUAAGGUCCCCUAUGUGGCUGGGUUGAAGGCUGAAUUCAGCAAUAAGUAGGCUAUGAAUUACUUUCCCUAGUUGGGUGCAGCAGGAAAAGCAGCUCAAAAGCCGUCAGUGCUUUCUUCUGGACUCCAGUCAACCCAGGCCUCGAGUUCCCUGGCCAGACAGAACCACUGGAUUUGCUUUGGGUGGCGUCAGUUCUGUCCACCUGCUGCUUGGCUUAAGAGCUGCUGGGCCACAUAGCUUCCAGGUAUUCUGGUGAGCCCUUCCUGUCAGAAGGGCAGGGGGUCACAUUCUGUAGGCACAGGGGCUGGAGAGGGCUAUGUCUCUGGUUCCUGUUGGAGCAAGACUGGAAGGGCCCGCUUGAGGCGACUCCCAAAUUUUCCUGGCUAGAUUUUCUGAUCAGGAGGGACUGGGGGCCGUGCUCUUCAGCAGGGGUAGCUGUGGCUCAGCUCUUCUGCCAGGGCAUGGGCAGAGCAGGCAGCAAGGCCAGAACUCCUUCUUUAGGGACCCAAAUUUGGCAGGCCUGAACCUUGCCAAAUUCCCCGGUCAGACUGUGCCACUGACCUGGCUUGCAGAUGAGCGUACACGCUGGUUGGGACUACUGCUUGGCCUGUGCUCAUAGGAACGCCGUCUUCCAAGACCCAAGCGCUGGUUGUUGGAAGCCCCUCCCUGCUUCUCGGUCUCAGGCUCCUAGAGGUUGAGCCCCACAGCUUUCCCCGAAGUCCUUGUGGAGUGAAACCAGAGUAUGGGCUCCAACUAAGUACAACAUUAGGUAGGCGGGGGGGCUAGAUAUCACCCAUGGGCUGUCCCCACCGGAGGAACCGGAGGCUUAGGGGAGAAGUCUCCACGUAGUGCUGAGCCAGCAUGGGGGAGGGGCAACGUGGUCAGCAUGUAGCUGUUCCUCUUACCCUUCCAGUGCAGUCCAUCUUGGUCUCUCUUUUGCUGUGGGGUGCCUUAGCCUCACUCCUGAGCUCUAGGAUCCUUUCAUUGGUGUCCUAUCCAGGAACAGUUGUUAGUUGCCUUCUUGGGAAGGGGAGUAUACUCAAGAACUACCUAUGUUACCAUCUUGGUAAUGUUACUCCCCUCCCCUCUCUUACCUUGUUCCCAUUUCAGCAAAAUUUUUAAUACGUUACCCUAUUAGCAGAUUUCAAAAUAUUGAUGUAGACUAUAAAAGUAAUCCCUUUACAUUAUAGAAUGUACUGAUAAUUAAAAACCACACAGUUGUAAAUGUUUGUUAUCUCCGUCCAAACUUUCUCCGCUGAGUUUCUUCAGAUCAUUUAUAACCCAGUAAAGUCCCAUUUGUUACCAAAAGACAGGAGAAUGAUUCUACUUCAAAUGUGCAUUUUAGCAAAACAAACUUUUCAGAACUUUCAGCAGUCAGUUGUUACUGUUAAAUCAUAUUAACCAGGUACACAGUGUCUAAAGUGAUCAGUGACAAAACUUUUUCUAUUUGUUAAAUAGGACCACCAGAUUCUCUAGUUUUUAACUGGUAUUUUUCCUUAUCAAAAUAUUAUACUACUAACUUUGUUACACUUUAGGAGUCAUGGUGGUGGUAACGCAGUCUCCGGAGGAGUAAUAAAAGGUUGUUGUUUUAAAAUGUUACGUUUUAUAACAUUUACAGUUUAAAAUGUUAUAUUUAAUGUGAUCUGAAUUCUUAAGAACCAAAGAGUAAAUGUUAUUUCUAUUUUAUUAGGUAUUAGACCCGUUAGAGAAAGUGAGUUAUAAGUUUCAGCAAUUUUUAAAUGAUGAGAUUGCAGAAAAAGGCAACAAGAUUAUUAUUAACAGUUCAAAAUAUAUUAUCUAAAGAAAAGUUAAAGUGAUUGUGAAACCUGAAAAGCUCAAGCAAUUACAGACCUCGUCAGUUACAGAGACAUCUGCUAACCACAAGGGAGAAACUUCAGGCAGUGAGAAACACAGCUUCGUCAGAAUCACGGUCCUUGCCACUGUCUUCGCUUGGUGCACACUCCCCACCACUUGGGGACCGACAGCUCAAGUCCUCCACCCCGGACUCUUGAUCGCUGUUGGCCGACAGAUCCGGAUCUGAGCUUUUCAAAUUGUCUUGGGUUAGAAUGAGAGCAGAAUCUUCAUCACCUUGUGAAGGACUCCUGGAUGGAAAGGAUUUCAUGUUUCCACUGUAAUCCUGGGGAGUGUUGGCUGUGCUGUUGUCUGAGGUAGAAAACCCUGAGUGUUUGCUGGGUUCGCUUUGCUUAGCCUUCACUUUAGUGUGAUUUAACUGGACUUUCUGAAUUUUUUCCAGCCUCUAAAAAAAAAAAAAAAAAAAGUUUUUUUAGGGAAAAAUCAUAAAUAAUUUAGUAUUUAUUACUUUCCACCUGGGUAUAAUCUUAAGAACACGGGAUUUAAAUGGACUUGGGUUCAAAGCUAGACUUUAUGACCUCAGACAAAAUAGAUUAUGUGAGACUUGCUUUCUUCAUCUCGAAUUAAAUGAAGGUAAAUACCAGCUUUACUAUAGGUUUUCUAUAAAAUGCAAAAAAAGAAAAAAAAUAAUAACAUAGAUAAAGCUCCUGGCAAUCAGUAGUCAUCUUUUCUAGACCUAUAAUGUUUUACAUGAUGAUUUUCAUCCUAUAAACUCAAAAUGCAUUUUUAAAACAUCAGGAAUGAGGUGUUUAUUAUCUAAUUUUUUAAAUUAAGAAACAUCACUUAACCACAAAACACCUUCUAAAGUAUACAGUUCAGUGGUUUUAGUAUGUUCGCAAGGUUAUACAACAAUUCCCUACUACCUAAUUCCAAAAUAUUUUCAUCAUCCUCUAAGAAAACCCCAUAACCAUUAGCAGUCACUCCCCAUUUCAGCCUCCCACAGCUCUGGCCGCCACUAAGCUACUUUCUAUCUCUAUGGAUUUGCCUCGUCUGGACAUUUCAUAUAAAUGGAAUCAUACAACACAUAUAACAUGUGUCUGGCUUCUUUCCCUUAGUUCAUGUUCUCAGGGUUCAUCCCCACUGUAGCACGUAUCAGUACUUCGUUCCUUCUUAUGGCUGAAUGAUACUCCAUUACAUGAAUAUCCACGUUUUAUCUCUUCAUCGGCUGAUGGACAUUUGGGUUGUUCAAAAUACACUUUACCAGAUUUCAUCCUUUGGUGUCAACAAGGGGGGUGUUAUAAGAUCAAGUAUUACAUAUUCAUUUAAAAGCAUUCAUCUUCAGUUGUUAUGUGCAAAGAGCACUGUAGUGGGCAGUAUGAGUAAUUGAGAUAGAUACAGAUCCAGCCAUAAAGAACUUGGGUUAUGGAGGCAGAGUUCAGGUGAUGUAAGAAUUUGGAAGAGAUAAAAAUUAUUUAAGAGGGCAGGUGGGAUAGCUAGAGGGAAAAGAUCCAAGCAAGCUUCAGGAAUGGAGCGUUUUAAUAAGACUCUGAAAGAAUUAAACUCAGGUGCUGGUGAUGGUUAGAGCAUUUAUGGCAAAAGGGACAGUGAGAAGAAAACCACCAAAGUAGGAAGAUGUCAUUGUGUACAAGAAGCAGAGAGCAGUUGAAUUUGAGCAAGGGGAAUAGUAGAGAAUAAAGCUGAAAGGGUUGAUUAGGCCGAAUUGUGGGAAAAUCUUAAACGCGAGGCUAAGGGGUUUUGACUUUGUUAUAAGGGAAAAGAGCCAAAGGCUUUUAAUUAAGGUGUUUUCAGAUUUUCUAAGUAGUUUUUUUCCUUCAUUUUUAGUAUUUUAACAAAAAGAAUAUUGGAACAGACCAGGAGAAUAGUUAGCCUUUCCUAAAGCUUGGGUAUCUUUAGGAAGAGUAAAUAAAACUGGCUGAGUGAGUAAAGACAUGUGUGGACUUGAAAAUGGCAAACCUCAUAGAAGUUUUUCCAGUGCUCCAGAAUUCUAAAAACCUAAGCUGUGCAUCAUUUCAUUUCUCUGUGUGCUAUUUAAUUCAAGGUCUCUCUCGCCCUGGCGGCAAGUCACAGUCAAUCACUGUGGCACUCUAAAGAUUCUCCAUCAGAAUCUCCAGGCUUAAGAGCCCUGGCAUUAGGGUUUUUGUGAGGUGGUGGUUUUGAUACACGGAGUCAAAAACUGUUCUCCAAUCGUGUAAAAUUAGCGCAGAGCUCUCCACAUAGGUCUCAAGAGGAUUUGUUGAACCCUUGCAGAUUUAUAAUAGAGUAAGAUUUAUGCUUGCCUUUAAAAUUUCUCAAAACCAGCAGUUUAACUUGCUGAAUGUGUUUUAUCCAUCUGGCUCCUGUAUGUACUUGAGUGUACAACCCUAGACCUAAGAUCUUCUACUUAGAUCUUGAAAGGCGAUGUUUCCUAGGAAUGUUAUGGGAGCAUCAGAGGAGUCUGCCUCACCAGCUACCUCCAAAUGACUAUCUUAUUGGUGGGGUCCCUGAACCAUCAUACAUGUCCCCCAGGCCACCCUUUUAGGGGCGACAUCCAGAUGACUAUCAUCAGGUAAAGGAAGUAGACUUUGUUGGAACUCAUCUUGUGAUAGUUCGCCGACUUCCAUUUAGAAAUUUAUCAAACUAAAGGUAAAAACCUGGAAGUUCUUUUCACGUCAUAGUACUGUUUUAUGCACUAUGAUGGGAAAUCUUAGUUUAUUGACAUUUUCCCGGCCUUCAUCCUAAUACUUUUAUCUGUAGUAUGUAAGAUCUCAAGGGGGCACAGAAGCCUUUUCAUCCUAUUUAAACCUUUAGUCUCAAUUUAGAAUUCAGGUCCAGACAACAGCAAUCGGUUGCCAAUUGUUGAGCAAGUGAAAGACCUGAUGAUGCCAUGGAGAGUUAACAAGGUGAGUGAAGCAGAGUGAAGCAAAGAAGCCAUGUGGUUUUAGGGAACCACUAAAUAAACCAGUGGUAUCACUGGAAGCAAAGUUAUAAAAUUAGCAAAAAUAUGUACAUUCUAACCGUCCUGUCCAAUUAUUGGGAAAUUAUAAAAGCCAAAAACUAGGCUGUUGGUAACUCGGCCUCGGCCGUUAUCAUGUAUAGGCUAAUAUAAUAAUAUUAUUGAAAGUAAUAAUAAAUUUACAAAAAAAACAAAUUUUUACAAGCACAUAAAACAAAAGCGCAAAGUCAGAUUUUGUUCUUUUCACUUUGAAUCCCACCUUUUUCACGUACUCUCCAGGAAGAUUCAUUUUUGGUUCUCUCAAAUAACAGUAACAAGAUAAAAUGUGACCUAUGGUAGGGAUAAGCAACUAGUUCAGCAAACCCUGUAAGUGAGCCCCCGGCCAGACGCCUGAAACGUGCUGAGUGCCCAGGUCUGGGCUUCGGUUACCUGGACGCUCACCCGGUGGCCAUCUGCUUCAGGUUAUCCACUCGGCUAAAAUAUAAAGUGGCUACGUUGCCUCAUUUCACGAACCCCGAGUCACAAAAGGCCGUCACGGAACAGUGUUUGUCAGGAAAUAAGCACAGAAAGUAGGUGAACAGGAAGUGUGUCUUACUUCUUCUAGGGCCUCUCGUUCUUCCUCCAGCUGCUGGGUUUCCUCCUUCACCGCCAUGAGGUAAUCGGUAACAGACUGUCGGGGCUGCAGCCCCUUUUCGAAGCGGUUGUACAUCCCACUCCAAAACCUGGAAGAGACAGCAGAGCUUUACGAUGCCACCAUCUCCCAGUCUGUAAAUCACGCUCUCGAGUCUUCUUAAGGUAUCUUUCAUGCCAGAGGCCCAGAGUCCUAAUAAUAACGAAUCACGUUACAUAAGGGAAUGAUUUCGUGCUGGUACUUUCUUUUGCUUGGGAAGGUAAAUUCAUCAUGAGUCUGCUUGUGCCUGUGGUCCUGAAUAAGAAGGCCCAGAUCUUUCUUAAAUAGAAGUAGCACACGUUAUAUUCUUCUUAUUUAAGAAAAAUGCUCUUGGUUUUCACAUAAGCUUGGAAAAUUAGUGCUUAUGCUCUCAUUUAGAAUCUCUCAGCUGCAAAGGGAACCUUCUAAAUUUGAAGGUUGGGGCUUGUUUUUAUCACAACCACCAAAAAUUGAUAUUUCCGUUGGCAUCAUAUCUUUUUUGUUUGUUUGUUUUAAUCCUAUACAACAAAGCAUACUGGAAUGCAGAUGAGAAGAGACAGUAUCAUCACAAGGAUGUCUGCAGAUCCACAUUUUACUUAGAAGAGCACUUUGAGGCCAGGGACUUAGUGCCAUUCAUGGUUUUCUCCAUGAAACCUAGCACUGCCUAGAACAGUGCUUGACCCCCAAUGACAUACUUGACUGGCUAUUACUAACGAAUUAGGAGCAUUAUGUGUCUCAGCAGCUCUCAAGACUGCUAUUUUACACAAACCAUGGAGACUUUUUUUUUCUUUUUAGUGUGGCAGAAUUAACAUUUUUUCAGAAUUCUGACAAAAUAAUUAAGAUAAUUCAGAACAAACACAAAUUGAGGGAGGAAAAACACUGUAGAGGAAGAAAAGCCACUAAGUAUGUUGGGGGUGAGCAGGGAGAAGGAAUGUGGUUUCUCAGUUGAUUCUGUGUGUUUGUCUUUUUUGCUGACCUCUGAGACAUCCUCCCACAUCAUAAAACUUCCAUAUGGAGAAGAAGCCAAAGGCUAAAAUGUAUAACAUGCAGCUCGAAUAGAGUAUAUAGGAUGCCACCCUCCUCUCCCCAUCCCAAUAUAGACAGUCUUACAAUAACUGACUUCCACAAGGAAAUACUUCGAGUAGGAGGAAAUUCAGCAGAGAAAGAAGGUAAAUCAUGGUCACCACCUAAACUUGUGAUUCCACAUCUAACUUACAAGGCACUUGGUUUAUUCCAUCCAUCCUUCCUUUCCUCUGUCCCUUCUUGCUUCCUUUCUUCUUCCCUCCCUGCUUUUUGCUUUUAAGUAAUACUGGAACUUAUACUUUUCAAGCAUCAUUAUUAUAAAACACCAACUUCUAAAGACAGUUCCAUAUUUAGAGGGAAAGAAGAGGGAGAGGAGACACUGGCAAGAAUAUUAGAUCAGAUACUUAACAAGCAUCCUUCUUUGGUGUGUUUUAUGUCCAAAGAAAAGCCUUGAAGCUCAGUGUUUCAUAUGCUUUGGCCUCCAAAUAUUAAACAGUGGCAGAAUCUAAGUUCAUAACCAUACCUAGUAAGGUCCUAGAGGGUUACAUACUUGUACAGGAAGUUGCACGGCGUUGUGGGGAGACGAAGGGUUCCCCUGGUCUGGCUGUGAUCGUCCCUAAAUAGAGGAUUCAUGUAGUCGGCCCGAUUCUUCCACAGGUGAGCCCAUAAAGAGUAUGUUCUUUCUUGAAUUCUGUUAUAAAGAAAAUAAGCCUGAAAAUUAUCUGUCUUGGUUUAUAGAAAUCGUAGAUCUGUAAUUGUCAAAGCUGGAAAGGGACCACUAAUUGUUACGUGUAUAUCCAGUGUCCCUGUCCUGUAGCAGGGAAAUUGACAAUCUGAGUGUGUGUCUUCAUGAGUCAGCAGGAGAGCACCGUAACAGUCUCAACUUCUCUGCUACCUGUACUGGCCUGGACAAGAUGUUUAAUUCCUCUGAGUGUAAAAUAAAACUGCUAUGUAAUUGGGGGGAGGGGAUUCUUCUCCAAAUAGUCAUUGACGUUGUAUUAUUUGCCAGGUACUAUUUAAAUGCUUCACCUGUUUUCUCUCAUUCGGUCCUCACUGAACUCCUAUGAGAUCUGUCCAUUGUACAGAUGAGGAAACUGAGGUUAAGAGAGAUUAGGCAGUUUCUCAAAGUCCCAUAGCUAGUGAGCAGAAUAGCCAGGAUUCACACCCAAGCAGACACCAUCAAGUUGGCUGGUCCGUCACAGCAAACCACAAACUCGUCUAGGAAAACAGGUGAGCUUGAAGGAUGCCCUCUGCUACGUUGAAAUCAUUACCAUUUAAUCAGGAAUCACACUGGAAGCUCCCGAGAGAAAAACCACCCGGUAUUCACGAGAAAAAGUGAAUGUGACACUGUCUGUUUUGACAGCAUAAAACCAGUGGAGUCGAUUUUACUUGAUCAUUUCCAAAAUUAAAUCUGAUUAUUACUAUA